GACGGAGGAUGCAAGUGUUAUCCGGAAUCACUGGGCGUAAAGCGUCUGUAGGUGGUCAAAUAAGUCAACUGUUAAAUCUUGAGGCUCAACCUCAAAAUCGCAGUCGAAACUAUUCGACUAGAGUAUAGUAGGGGUAAAGGGAAUUUCCAGUGGAGCGGUGAAAUGCGUAGAGAUUGGAAAGAACACCGAUGGCGAAGGCAGCCCCCUGGGCUGAGAUUGACGCUCAGGCACGAAAGCGUGGGGAGCAAACAGG
rnacentral:rRNA from 1 species